rnacentral:tRNA from 1 species
UGGGGAGUAGUUGAGUUGGUAAAACGCCUGACUCUGGAUCAGGAGGCCGAAGGUUCGAAUCCUUCCUCCCCAGCCA